UAAUUAAUGGCACAGUGGUUAGCACAGCUGCCUCACACCAAGAAGGUUGUGGGUUCGAAUCCGACUUGGAG